CAGACAUCUGAAAGGUCCGCGGAGAUUUGAACCAAAUUCCGUGUCGGUUCUGUUCGCUUCUAGAUCGAUUCUACUCCAUGACGUCACUGACGUUUGGACGUGAGAUCACGUGGUAGAGUUUAUAAACACCGCUCAGGAGUCGUCAAAGCAGACCACCUUCCACCAAAGAUUACAAACAACAACAAGGCAGCCUAUGAUUUAGUAAUGAGCAUGGAAAAGGACCAGAAUGGAAAAAAGCAGCUCUGCAUGAACACACUCUACUCGGAUCAUCGACGUGCCCUGAGUCAGUUCUGAAUCCAGAGCAAGCAGAGAUUUGCUGACAAAAACCUUAGCAAGUGGAGACAUGGAGAAAGUGUUGAAGCAGUCAUUCAUACUGGCUCAUUCUCAGAUAAGUCUCGGAAUAAAACAUAACAUUUAAUUCAAGAAUUUUGACUUUCAGUGGCUGACUGUCACAAAUAUUACAAGGACGGUUUUGACAAACUUGUAGAUGAAUACAGCAGGAAGAGGCUGAUUGACCAAAACCAAACAGAUCGCCUGAUGCAGUGGGUGAAAGAAGAGAGAUAUUGGGACACGUCUGCAGUGGAGUAUAAAGAAAUUAAAGGAGCUAUAAAAGAUAAAGCUGUAAACAGAAGAAAAACAGACCACAUGAGGCCAAAUUUAUCAGCAUGAUGAGCUGUAAUGUUCACGUCAGUGUUAAGAUCAGUGUUUGACUGAAAAAGAACCAAACUUAAAGGAAAGAAAUCUCUACAUGUAGUGACAAUACAUUAAUGUUAACUUUUAUCUUUCUUAAAUAUUUUAUUCUUGCAUAAAUGUUAAUAUAUAAAACAUUCUACAAGCUUUAAAAGAUGUUUUUUGUAUUAAGAGCAUCAUGAAGUCAUUC